rnacentral:lncRNA from 1 species
CUGAAGAAAAGAGUGAUGUUGAUAUGUCAGAGAUUGAGGGUGAAACUACAGCUGAGCGUGCUGCAGUGGAACCAGACCAAAGUCCUAUAACACAAUCUGGUGUAGCUGAUGCCUCACCAAGCAGAAAUGCAGAUGCAUCUCCUGCACGUGAACCUUCCCCUAAUCCAGUCCAAGCUGGUGCAACUUCUCGACCCCAGAAUACUAGCACUACAACAGAGGCACGUGAACCUUCAACUAAUCCAGCCCAAGCAGGAGCUUCUGAACAGCGGAACACCAGAACAAUCAACUUUGAAAGGGCCAGGCAAAAUAGGCAAGCCAGGUUUCAACGUCCACAGCAACCUGCUGCUGGUGCACAACAACCUGUCGCUGCUCGGGGUCGUGG